rnacentral:rRNA from 1 species
GACAGAGGUCCCGAGCGUUAGGCGGAAUCACUGGGCUUAAAGCGUGUGUAGGCGGAUGCCUAAGUACCUUGUGAAAUCCCACGGCUUAACCGUGGAACUGCUCGGUACACUGGGUGUCUUGAGCCACUUAGGGGCUACCGGAACAAAUGGUGGAGCGGUGAAAUGCGUAGAUAUCAUUUGGAACGCCAAUGGUGAAAACAGGUAGCUGGGAGUGUGCUGACGCUGAGACACGAAAGCCAGGGGAGCAAACGGG